rnacentral:misc_RNA from 1 species
UAAAGACUUUCAUUUUCUUCAGUGAACAAUAAAUGCUCUUUCUUCUGGCUUCCAUAAAUUCCAGAGAAAAAAAAUGGUGAAGUCCCUGGAUCCGAGCUUGAUAUUGAUGAUGUCCCAACCUCUGUAGCAGUCAGUGAUGAUUCAUGAUCUGGACUACUUGCAGGAGUUACAAAUGGCCCCCUUAACAUAUCUAGCUGGUGAUGCUUGCUCUUGAAGUCCUUUAAAGAUGCUUCUAUCUCAAAUGGCAAUGGCCAACAUACUUCAGUUCGCAUCACUGGGGAUCCAAUCAAAUUCAAACGAAGAAUCUUUGGCUGAGACCGUUUCAUCACCACAACAUUACAUUGUAACUCUUGCAUGCAGUAUUUCUUCUCAUGUUUCAGAUUUUUGUCCAAUAUAACCCAGUUCGAUUGAGCCUUCUUGGCUUCAGCAGCCACCACUCCACAUGAUGAACCAGCAACAACCUUCACCCUGAUUUUUAUCUUCUCAGGGUCAUAUACA